rnacentral:lncRNA from 1 species
CGAUCAAGCGUCAACCAUAUAGUCGAGAGCAUGCGCCAGAUCAUCAGCGUCUUCUUCAUCGAUGCUCCUCUAGAUGAAUCAUACCGUGACAAUAUGUAGUUUUCUUCUAUCAGUGUGGUAAUCGUGCUAAAUUUAGCAUUUAAUUGAAUCUUCCAUUGUUCG